UACGUAGGGAGCAAGCGUUGUCCGGAAUCAUUGGGCGUAAAGCGCGCGUAGGCGGCCCUGUAAGUCCGUUGUGAAAGUCAAAGGCUCAACCUUUGAAAGCCGAUGGAUACUGCAGGGCUAGAGUACGGAAGAGGAGAGUGGAAUUCCUGGUGUAGCGGUGAAAUGCGCAGAUAUCAGGAGGAACACCAACGGCGAAGGCAGCUCUCUGGGACGUAACUGACGCUGAGACGCGAAAGCGUGGGGAGCAAACAGG
rnacentral:rRNA from 1 species